GCCGGAGUGGCGAAACUGGCAGACGCCCGGGACUUAAAAUCCCGUGACCCGAAAGGGUCGUACCGGUUCGAGCCCGGUCUCCGGCACCA
rnacentral:tRNA from 1 species